AUGCUAAGGAGAGAGAACUCAAUGCGUUGCUUGCUUCAUCCAGAGGUGGAAGCAGGAGCCGGAGGCUUUGAGAGCAUGCUAUAUCAUGGUUAUGAACAUGUAUGGAUUAGCAACUGGGAUACAGAAGAAAUGCCUCGUGAACUGAAUCAAGAAUGGCCUAAUUGGACCUUGCCUUUUCUGUCACUGACAAGGACGAUCUGUUGGGCGGCAUCAGGCCGUGUGGCACGCCGGUCAAGGAGUUCACCUUUCGCCGUCGCGCUCAUAGCAUUUGGUAUGCUCGGUGUCGUCACCCCGUCUUCAUAG
rnacentral:rRNA from 1 species